rnacentral:rRNA from 1 species
AGCUCCAAUAGCGUAUAUUAAAGUUGUUGCAGUUAAAAAGCUCGUAGUUGGAUCUCAGGGUGAGCUCAGUUGGUCGGCCUAAUUGGUCAGAACUGGCUGACUCUCCCUUGUUUCUGAAUCCCGGUCGGAGUUAAUUCUUCGUUCGUGGACUUCAGAUCGUUUACCUUGAAAAAAUUAGAGUGUUCAAAGCGGGCGUUUGCUUGAAUACAUUAGCAUGGAAUAAUGGAAUAGGACCCUGGUUCUAUUUUGUUGGUUUUGAGGACCAGAGUAAUGAUUAAUAGGGAUAGUUGGGGGCAUUCAUAUUUAAUUGUCAGAGGUGAAAUUCUUGGAUUUAUGAAAGAUGAACUUCUGCGAAAGCAUUUGCCAAGGAUGUUUUCAUUAAUCAAGAACGAAAGUACGC